GCCACAGUCUGGGGAUGGGGGCAGGUGGUGGGGUGGACAGAGGAAGAGGGGAAGGGGAGAGGCCAAUGAGAAGCAGACGGAGAGGAAGGGCAAAGGAAAGAGUUGGAGAGACCGAGAACAGGAGAACCAGGGAGUGGGAGAGACCAUCAGGACCCAGGUGAGGGGGCAGAGGAUGGGAUAGAGAGAGACCAGGGGACAACAGUGAGAUUACCCUCCAGCUACCUGCUCUGGGCAGCCCCCUCCCUCCCAAGCUCCAGGGCCCUGGGCAGCCGGGUAGGGCUCACCACAGUGCUGCUCGUCUGAGCCGUCCCUACAGUCAGGCUGUCCGUCACACUGUGGGUUGGGCUUCUUCACACAGCUCCGGUCCUCACACUGGAAGGUGAAUGUCCCACAGGGCACCCCUGGGAUAGAGGGGAUGAGGACAGGGCAUAGCAGGUGGGUCUCUGAGCCCCAAGGGAGCUUUCCAAAGUGGGGUACAGGAACGACAGAGCCAGGAGGGGACUGGAGAGCCUUUUUCUGAGUCUCCUUUAGGGUAUCCUAAAAGCAGGUCAUGUCCAUCCCCUCCAGUCUCUCACUCGGACUGGUCUGUUGAGCGCAAGGCAGUGUCUCUCUCUCAGACUGGAGCUCCUGAUCAUGCCCCCACCUCCAGUGUGGAACUUCAAGGCAGAACUGUGCCUCCACUUUCAGACCAGGUCCCCACCUAGCCUGGCAGUCCCCCAGGCUCUGCCCGGUUGCCCACCUUUUCCUCCCUGCUCUUCACUGCAAAGAACUUUACGCUCCACCACCUGGUCUUUGCCUCUCUCCCUUCUACCUGCUUAUUUAAGUUUUAGCUCUCAUCAAGGACCAAAUACCUACUUUCUCUAGGAAGCUUUUCAUGUCGGACCUCCUCCCUGCCCCCCAGUCUUCCCACACUGCAGGAGAGUCACCCAUCAUAUCCUCCUACUAACAGAUAAGCCUUGGAAGGCAGGGGCUGCAUCUCUGGUGUUUUAUUCCUGUUUCCUGACUGCACCUGGCCUAUUGCUCGACACCCAGCCAGGCCUGCCCUACCUUCCUGGCACUGCUCUUCAUCGCUGCUGUUGAGACAGUCAGGCUGCCCGUCACAGACCUUGGGCAGUGAGAUGCACGUGCUGUCCUCUUGGCACUGGAAUGUGGCUCUGCAAACUGUGGAGACAGAGCGGGGACAGGUGGGAGGAAGCCAGAGGAGCCAGCGGGGUCCGGCGAUGCCUGUGGAAGGUGUGCUGUAUCGCACAUUACUGGUCACAAAUCUCUUUCUCUGCUACUUUAUUUUUGUUUUUAUCUUUGUUUACUUAUUUAUGUUUUCUUUUUUAGACAGUCUUACUCUUGUCGCCCAGGCUGGAGUGCAGUGGCGCAGUCUUGGCUCACUGCAACCUCCAGCUCCCAGAUUCAAGCCUUUCUCCUGCCUCAGCCUCCUGAGUAGCUAGGACUACAGGUGUGUGCUACCACGUCCGGCUAAUUUUUGUGUUUUUAGUAGACGAGUUUCACCAUGUUGGCCAGGCUGGUCUUGAACUCCUGACCUCAGGUGAUCCACUUGACUCGGCCUCCAAAUUGCUGGGAUUACAGGCAUGAGCCACUGCACCCGGCCUCUCUCUCUGCUACUUUACACCCAAAGUUUCACGGCAACCCUGUGAGAUACCCCAUUUCAUUGGUGGAAACAGACAAAGUGACUCGUCUGAGGUCACUUGGCUGAGCCAGAACUUGAAGCCAGAUGUUUGGCUUCCAAAUAUGAGGUGCCUUCCCCAGCACCGUGGCGGGAUUAUCCCCCACGCUCCCAUGGACUUCUUACCUCCUUCUCCCCACAUACUUAGAACUUUGACAGGGCAGAGGAGGAGGGAUAUCUCCCUCACCCAUUCUGUUCCUUCUUGGAAGGCUGGCUGGGACAGGGGCUGGGAAUGAUGGCCCUGAGCUGGAAGUCAGGAGACCUGGCUCCCCACUUGUCCCUGUCACUGCCCCAAGGGGUGGUCUCGGGGAGGCCGCAUUCCUGCUCUGCCUCAUCUCACCACCCCAACACAGUGAGAGCACCCCACUUCUUGGGUGCUGAUAAUGGAAGUUGCAUUCAGGGGUGGGGUCUCCACUCAGCUCAGAGCAGAGAAGGUGAGGAGACAGGAGGGAUGGGCACGUGGGCUGCUCACCGCAGUUUCUCUCAUCCAGGCCAUUGGGGCAGUCCUUGACCCCAUCACAGGCAGGGACACAGAGUCCAUUCACAGAGCAGAGGAACUCUCCAGGGCAGGCUGCGAAACCACAAGGGACAUGGGGGCAGGGAGGGGCCAUUAGGCCAUGCAUAGCCUUGAAGUCACACAGACACGCACCCUCCUGUGCGCUCACACAUGCAUGGAUAGGCACCCACAGAUACUGUUCCGGGCACCUGUGUACACAGUCCAAGCAGACAUACACAUCCAGACACAUGCACACAACACAUACGUGGAUAUGUGUAAGUGUGUGUUUCUGCAAACCCAUGUGACUGCCUUGCACAUGUGGGCACACAAAGCUGCAUAAAUUUGUGCAAGCACACACAUACGCACACAGACACACUCCUUCAGCCUCAUAAACAGCUGCCCACAACCCCCUUGGUGGUUCCAGGGAUGGCCAAAAGGCAGGGAGUCGCUGCAGGGAUUCCCCGGGCUGCUCAUACUCACGGUCCGACUGGUUGUACAAGCUGUAGUGCACCUGCACACCGGGCCCAGUAAGGGAGACCUGGGAGGUGAAGUUGAUGGUGAUGCCGGCCAUGGCCACCACAGGGAUCCUCUCAGCGUAGGGCUGCAGGAUGCGCAGGCCACACAGCCUGCAGAGACCAGAGAUGACUCAGGGCCACACUGGUGGGUCUCCUGGGUCUGGUGCACAGCCAGAGCAAGGACAGGGCAGCCAGAGAGGCAGGGGAGCUGCACCCCCACUGUGCCACCUCUGCCCUGCUUUCUGUCUCCCUUGGGUGACUGCUUACCCCCAGAGUCAUCUUCUAGAAAGUAGGCUGGCUAUGUCACUGCCCUGCUCAAACACCUUCAAUGGCUCCCCACUGCCUGCCAGAUAAAACUCAAGUCUAGUCAUGGUCACCUGUGAACUGUGAGGUUCUAGCAAGUCAAGGUCUUUCUUUGAGCUCACUUUCCUCCCUUAUAAAACAAGGAAAGGUAUUAUUUCUGUUGACCUUGAAUCUGACAAAAGGCUUCAAUGGGUCAGUAGAGGCAAAAGCCCUUGACUGGCCCACUGUCUGCAGAUGGGCAAGGUCAUUUGCCUUGUGCUUGGUGUGGGGUGAGGGGCAGCAACACUCCCCUUGAGACACCAACCCUCCUGCCUCCCGGGGACACUGUGGGCUUGAGGGAAGGAUCAGUCCUUUUCCCAUGACCGGUAGCUUAAUCCUGAUGAGCAGCACGCUCUCCGAGCAUGGCCACGAGGGGUGGGGCCACCCCCAGCUGCGGGAGCACCCUCACAUCCCUGCCACAAUGCCACCAAAAACAUUCCCCUAUUCAAACAGAGCAGGCGGGGGAAGUUCCAGAGAGUCUGAGUCUUUCUCUCCUACCAGAGAACAGGUAGGAGCCUCUCCCAUCUCCCCAUCUCCCGGUCAUGAGCCCAGGGGCUCCUCCUGCAGAGAAUCCAGCGCACUCUGCCUCACAGAGCAAGUGGGCACUGGCGCGCCUUCACAGAGUGGGUGCAACCACGCCCCCAGAACAGUGGGACACCCUUGCAGAACAGAUGGGGAUAGCUCCAUCAGCUCCUAGAAAUGCCCCCUACAGGGAAGGAAGUGCUCCCACAGAGCAAAUCAGAGUCUUUGCAGAUGGGGGAAUCACACGCAGGGCGCAGGUUGAAAGUCUCCAGAAGCUGAAAAUGCCCCAGGCAGAGAAAGUGAGAGGAAGAAAUCCAGAGAGCAGCGGGAAUGCCCCCGAAGGCCCACAGCAGAUCCAACACCCCACGGAGCUGGCCAUGAUUCCCAGGGGCCAGGCACUUCCCCAGAACUUCUAGAAUGUGGUGACAGAACAGCUGUCCAGAGACUACGCGAUGUGUGACGUCGGGACUGAUUGAACUUGGAGGGAGACGGGAAGGUCCAGCAUGUGGUCUGUGAAGCUGGUUGUUAAAGUUAGGUACGGAAAUGUAAAAUGACAGCCCUCUUGUCACUAAAUAUUUUUAGUGCUGGAGAGAAUGCAACCAGUUUUCCUAGAAUGGUGUUUACAUUCAAAUGUGUCAUGGGCUUCUAAUUACAUUAAGGGAAUUAAUAAACGUUUUAAAAUUCUGUUUAA